UAAAAAGAUAAAUUUUAAUUUUGCGCGUUUUCUUUCUUUUAUUUCUUUCUCUCUCUCUCUCUCUCUCUCUCUUUUUCUCUCUCUUUCUCUCUUUCUCGGAUAACGUCACGUGACUCUGCGCGACGUUCCCACACAUACAUAAUACAAACCACCAAUUUCACAUCUACAAUACAUAAGUACUUGUACUACGUUAGUAGAUUUUCUUUUUAUCGGAAUAUUUCAGUGCAAUUCCAAGAUGUCUGGUGCAAUCUUAAAGAUUGUAAGGUAUCCGUUUGUUGAGGAACUCAUUAGCUUGCACUCGUUUAAUUCCUAGUUUAUGUGCAACAAUUCCAGUCAUGAAAACAUCUUCAAGUUUAAGAUUGAGCGACGUGCUUACGGAAGACAAAGCUUGAGAACUAGACGACGUAGAAAGUGUAGUGAUAAUUGUUGCAGUAUUGCUUACAUUAUGUUGAGAAUAAGAAUUCAAAGACAAAGUUUCAUAUGUCAUAUUUUUGGGCACAGAUUGGAUAUCUAUGCUAUGAUUCGAUUGAUUUCGAAGUGGUUCCUGAUAAACGGUGUGACCUGAAAUAAAUGAAUCUAUCAGCGAAUCGUCAGAUGAAGGACUUCGAAAGGAAUAAUCUUCAAUGAAAUAUCUCUCUAAGACACGUUAUUCGAUGGGCACCGACGUUCUCCACUCUUCUUCUUUGGUCGAGCUAGCUGGCACCCAAUGGGCCACCCAUUCGCCACCCAUUGAUAUAUAGUAACACGCAUCGACGUCGAUCACGUUACUCGAAGCGAUCUUGCGUCGAUUCUUCCUCUUCCUUCCUUCUCUCCUCUCCUCUUUUCACUCCCUACUUCCUGCCACUCUUUCCUGUUAUAAUAUAGAGACGUUUGUUUUAAGCCUUAUGCAGUGUUAAAAGGUUUUGACAGUUUGUUGCUAUCUAAACGUUUUGACCUGAGUUCGCUCGAUGACUCAUCAGUAGGCCUGAUGAGCGGACCCUACUUUAAACGUACUCAAUAUAUUCUCGUUAUAGGACAAACAGAUCUCUAGAACCUAUAUAUAUAUAUAUAUAUACCUGUAUAUAUAUAUAUAUAUAUAUAUUGUAAUGCUACAACGUAUAGUGCUUUCGAGGGAACGUGCGAUUUUUAUUAGAAUCUGCGACGCCUAGCGGCAGACAGGACGAAGUCUGUAUACCUACAAUGAGGGUGUUACUUUCAUGGUUACCGUUAGUUCGAACAUGGCGCGAGAUUCAUCGAUACAUGCUUUUUAUAUAAAUUGAAUUUCUCAAAUUUACUAGGAUAUAUAUCAUGGUUUUCGUAUAGUUAAAAAAAAAAAAUUCGAGAUAAUUUAUUUUUAAUUAUUAGAUUAGUUUAUUUUGGAGUUAUUGAUAUUUAAAAGAAAUAAUUUCCUAUUAUUAUUCAAUGUUCUCGAGGACGAUCUUUCGCUAUUAGAAUCUUAGCUAAAGCAAUGUUUCAAAUUUUUAAUUGGAAUAGAUAUCGUAACUUUGAGUUGUGUAGAUUGAAAUUCGUUAUCGCCAUGGAACCGGAUUUCCCUUCGUUAUUCAUUAAAGAAGAAAAAAAAAAGAAGAAUAAAUUAGAAUUUCGAUAAACUUUUCUAUUUUAUUAUCAAACUAAGCUUAUUUGUUUUUUUUUCUUUUUUAAUUAGAAGACAUAUGUAUGUUCUACUAAAGUAAAAAUGGAAUGAGUAUAUUUUUAUCGUUAAUACUCGGCUGAGUUUUCACGAUCAAUCUCAUCCACAAUCGGUGAACUAUAUACGAAUAGUCUUCUAAAAAUAUCGCGAACGGAUCUCUUUCUCGUUUGAAUUAAUAAUUACAUUAGUUCUUUUUUUUCUAUUUUUUUGUUUUUUUUUUAUACGGAAAAUCCAAUUAUCUAGCUGAUGUAUAAGUAAUUUGGGUACAAAAUUUAAUUUGAAAUUUGUUUAAUAGCGAUGAUAAUAAAGGAUUGAUCAAUCCUUUACAUUAUUAUUAAUUAGUCGAUAUUUUUAGCGAGGUAGAUUUAUCAAUAUUUUACUUUAUACAGAGAAUAUAUAUAUAUGUGUGUGUGUGUGUGUGUGUGUGUGUGUAUAAAAUUGUGUAGUUAUGUAGACAUGUACUUGCAAUAGAAGAUACGAAUAUAUGUACAUACAUAAGUGCAUGCAUGAUCAUUGAUGAGUGAACGCUUUUUGAAUGAGGAUUGGAAACGAACGAAGCGCCAUUUACUCGAUUACCAUUCACAGAGACUGUACCAUUGGAUGAUAGUUCAGUAAACAUUAUCUUUAGAUAUUUUCAGAGUAUAAAUAUUUUUUUUAUGAGAAAAUUUACUUUUGCGUAUUUUUAAUAUUUGGAUGUACUUUCAAUAAGUCUAAGAAUUCUAUAAAUUAUUGGUAUUUUUUUUUUUCUUUUUCUUUUUUUUUCUGUAUUUUUAGGAAAACUUUAUGAUUUUGUCCUUCCUAUAGAAGAAUUCCUAUCCAUUCUUCCCAUAGAAGAAAAUAUAUAUUAUUAAAAGUGUCAUGUUAGGAAAAGACAGGCUAGAAUUUAGAAUGAUGAAAUCUUCAGAGUCAAAGCUCUCUUUCGUAUCGUAGUAGUUCGGACUGUAGUUAUUAUCAAGAGCAAGAGGUUGAUCGAUAACCUAUUUCUCGGUGGUUGGCACAGCGCCAGAAUUCCUGCUGAGUGCUGCUGACUCUUUGACAUCACGACAAAAUAACCUCGCCCUCGAGCUAGGUCAUGAAUGUUUUCAAAAUUCGAUAAAAAGUAUGAGAAAGAGAGAAAGAAAGAGAAAGAGAGAGAGAGAGAGAGAGAGAGAGAGAGAGAGAGAGAGAGAGAGAGAGAGAGAGAGAGAGAGAGGGAACGCUACUAUUGAUAAGGGUCAUUCAUGAGGAUAACACUACUACUGAAACAAGAUGUUUCUUUCGUUUGAAGCUUAUAUGAACACCAACAGAGAAAUAUUAUUUCAUAAAUUAUAUUUAUAUUCUACUAUUUUUACUUUGUCCUUUCAUUUGUACGAAAGAUGAAAUAAAAAUUCUUGUCUUUUUUCCUUUUUUUUUCUAGAUAUCAUCUCCUUCUUAUGCAAUGAACGGAUCUUCUUCAACUUUUGUAUAAAGCAAGCCUUCUAUAAUUCCAAUUUCAUCGGUUCGAAGUAAAUGCUUGACCUUGCUGAAAACGGAGUAAAAUUUAUAGAAGCGUUAUUGUCGAGUUAGCUAGCCAGCCGACUGGCCUUCGUGGAUGCUCGUGAAAACGACGAUGAUACUACUGCAGUACCUAUUUCAAGCGUCAUGGGAUGAUCGUAUGAAAGAACGAAUCACUUAUUUGGGCAACGAAGGAGAGAAGGAAUGAGGAACGAUGAGCUUACAAGCCAAUCCUAUAGACAUCCCUGUCCUUCAUCUUCUUUUAUGUAAAAUCAAUAUUCUCCGAAGUUCCUUUAACAUCAAUGUACGUAAGUACUUGAUGCUCCGAAUCAGAAAAGAAAAAGAACGAUCGAUAAACAUUGUCUCAUGAGUAUUGUAACGUAACACAUCAACCGUUACUAAUCCAGAUUAAAAACGGUUAGCUCGGAUUAAAGACUUUCUUGUUUCUUUUUCGUUUUUCUUUUUUUCGAGUUAGAGACUAACUCAAAGGUAACGUCGAAUUUGUAGAUAUUGAUUUAAAAUAAAUUAUCAUGUUUCUAAAUUCUAUGAAUUUGUAAAUUGAUCCGACAACGUAUGAAAAAGAUUUACAAUCGUGAAAGGAUUUAAUAAGAUCGACGAAUCGACAAUAAGCUUAUUUCGAAAGUAUCGUCACGUAAGCAUGUUAAAUUUUUUUUUUCUCUUCCUAUCUCGUUCUUGCCAUCGUUCAACGACAAGCCUUUAAAGACGUACUUACGAUGAUCUUAGAAGUUUACCGCCGGCGAAAGUUCCACGUAUACGCUCGACACGUACCUACUAGUCGCAUGAAAAUGACACUGUCAAGCCCAACGACUCGGAGAUCCACUUGACCCAAAAUGUCGGAAGAAGCAAAAGAAGAAGAAGAAUCAGAAGAAGAAAAAAAGGAAAAGAAAAAGAAGUAGUAGAAGAAGAAGAAAUAGAAGAAGAAAAAGAAAAAGGAGGA